GGAGCACUGGGGUGGAGUUUGGAGGCUGGGAGGAGUUUAGGGGGAAGAGGGGAUCAUUGCAUUGGAGAAGGCUUUCCACGUGAUGGAGGGGUGGGCUUGGGAAGGAGAGGCAGUCAGGGUCCUUGAGUUUUGGCCCUGGGUGUGAUUGGAGGAAAGGGCUCAGCCAUCCUGGGGGCCUCAAGGGUUGGACCGGGUGGUGUCCUUGGGACUAGGAGGAUCAGAGUGGGCUGGUGGGAAACAGGAAGUCUUUGAGCUGAGACUGCUCUGCCUUCCAGAAGCCCACUCUGUGCAUGCAGAUCCCAGGUUGGAGUCCUUUCCCUGAGGGCAAGGCCUGGGUCUUCCUAACUCCUAUGGGACCUUGCCCUCUGUAAAUUCCAGUUGGGCAGCCUCCUGCCUAUGAAGAGAGGAGAAAGAGCUCUGGGAUCCGUCUCCCUCCCCAGCUCAGUCUGCAGAGGAACAAAACCUACCCCAAGAAGGGAGCCUGGACUGAGAGAGAAUGGCUCCUGGGAGCAGCCAAGCCCCAGCCCAGGUUGUGAAGAAUGUCUGACCAUGAAGAAAGGGGAAUGAGACAUGACAGAAGCUGAGGCAUAGAACAGAAGAAAGGAUGCCUCUCUCAGACUCCUAAGGAGAUUGAUGGCAUCAGAACUAUCUGACAUUCAUUUGGACACCCUAACUCAGAGGAGCUUUACCUGACAUCCAGGAACUUUUUUAGAAAUAUUUGUAUAACUGUAUUUCCAUAUAGUUGGCUUCCCGGACAAUAUUGUUUAUUUUAUGUAUUUAAAAACAUCAUUCUGAGUCAGGGUCCUACAGUUCCCCAGACUGCCAAAGGAGUCCAUGAUUCAAAAAUAAGUUAAGAACCCUUGCCCUAGAUAAUUGUUUGGCCACUGAGAAAAUUAAAGUUAUUCUGUGUCAUUUAACAAUUGAUUCAAUUCUGUAAUUGACUGUUCUGUACUGCUGCUUCAUUUUGUGUCAUUGCUCAGUCCACAUUUUUCCAUUCCGGAGUCAACUCUUCCUCUGAGUUAGUCACAAGUUAACUUGUUAUCAUCCCCAAAAGGUAUAGCGUCCACCCUUGCAAACUUCUUAGUUCCCACCAAACCCUUCUAGGCACCAGGAAGUCUGCCAACUCAGGUCUGCUAACAACACCUGUAAGAUUCAUACAAUUAGGGAAGGGACCAGAACUGGAACCGAGGGUUCCUGAUUUCAACCUUGACUUCCAGCACUCUCUCUACCACACCAUGAGAAGAUAAUGAGCUCACAUCAGGGGCCUUGCACGAUACCAACUCCCUCUGCUCGUUUGCAAUGGGCUCUGUUCUGUUUUUAUUCUUACUUGUCCUAUUUAAUAUGUGGUUCAUUUUGAAAGAGGACUCAAACUGUCCUUUGGCAAAUAGGUGAAAUAUAAAUUGAAAAUAAAUGAUAACUAGUUAUAAAUGAUUUGGAUUUAACUAGAACCUGGAAUAACCCAGUGCCCUUUUACUCUUCCAAUAGUAUAAAUAGACUAAAGUUGCCUUUAUAUAGUGCUCAUGUUUAACUUAAAGUAACAUGAGGU